GUCUCAGAACUACGGAAAGCCGAGAAGCCUAAAAGGAUUUACAUUCGCAAACGUUUGAAAGAGUAGCAGUAACAGUAACAGUAUCUUUUACUCUCACCCACAAUUAAUGGCAGUGGUGCAAUGUAAAUACCGGGGGCACAUGAAGAGGAGAGAGGGGAGGGAGGAGAGUGGUCUUUUAAAAACGGUUUCAGUGCACUAAUGUCCCUGAAACCUGAACCCUUAUUGGAUCUGAAGGGCAUUAUAAGACCGGCAUCCUCCACAGCCUCUGUCUUAAGGGAUUGCUUUCAUUCAGGGAAGGAGAGGCGAAAAAGCCUUCCAGCAGAGCCCACUCAGACUCAGCCCUUCUCCUUGUGUGCCUGUCCCCUUGUCUCUGCUGCCGGGGCUGAUUGACCAACCCUUCCGACAGACCGGCUGCCAGCUCGCCCAGACGGCUCUCUUGCACCCGUGCUUGUUACUGUGAUGUAGCCAAGCACAGCUAGCUGCCUUGUGGCCUCUGACGUUUGCAUGGAAAAGAGAUGAUGUGCUCAACCUUCCUGUUCUACAUCUGCGUUCAAGCUCUGGGGUCUUGACCCUCCUAAAAAAAAAGAAACACUCGAGGGUUCAGGUAGCCAACAGACUGGAUUUAACCUGGGCCAAGACCUGAGUCAGUCAUGGUGGGAUUAUCUCUUUCUUCACUUGAGGUGUGACAUUAUUUAUUUCACAGAGAAGCAGACGGGACAACAAACUCUUCUCUCCCCUGCCUGACUAAAGGAGACGAACAACCUCAGCCCUUUCAAACAGAAGUCUUUGGGAUCUGUCAUGACCAUCCACCUCCUGUUGUAUGCAGGGAACACAGCAACCUCUUCUGGACAAAAAGGAAAGUAGCAGAGAGUGUAAUGAAGCCAACAUAACAGAAGCAGUAAGAGCUACAAGGCCACCAGAUGCCAUCCCAGCCUAUUUGUCUUGUCCCUUUCACAGACAAACUAAUUGCUAAACAAAAGACUCAAAAAGGCCUAAACCUCAAGAACGGACAAAGCCAGAUGACAUGACAACACUGGGCUGCUGCAGUUUGGCUUCAGAUGAGCCCUGCACUCUCCCAUCCUCAGCCACCGCCACCACAGCCAAGAAAUGGUAACUCAUGCACAGACUUACCUGUGACUUUGAUUUUAAACGCACAAUUGAAGCAUUUAUUAAAACAAGCCUGGAUUCUUUAAGCAAUAUGAGUAAAGAUAAUGUUUAGACAGGUACAACUAUCAGACUAUCUGAUACUGACAUCAGUCAAUGAUAACAAUUUAAGUGCAUCAUGAAAUAAUAUCAACAUUACAGAGGAAAACAAAACAACCAAACAACUUAAGGUAGGAUAAAUUACACACUUAUAUGAACACUCUGACUGGGAUGUAAAAGAAUAAUUUUAUCGCCUCUAGAAAAUAUAUGAAGAAAUGCCAGUGUUGAAAAAUGUCAUCUUUAAAAGGCAAAUCUAAAUGUCAGAGAGACAGAUACUUUACACAUAGAGAGCACUGCCUUCUGGGCGUAACACAGAAAGGCGUGAGAAUAAUAUUUUUUCCCAGUUGAAAUGAACUGCAAUUACCCGGCAUCAAGCAUACAAAGCAGUACACUCACAUUCACACUCACAUAGCCUGGAGAGGAGCGUGGUCACUGUUCGCAACAUUACUCAGGAAAUCAGGAAAAAGAAAGCACAACAAAUGUCACAGGGAGAAAUAUAGACUUAACUAUGUUACAGUCUGCAAUAUGCUACUGAGAUGUAAUGAAUUUAUUGUCAGAAAUAGAGCUGAAACAAGUAGUCGAUUAAUGGAGUUAAUCGACAGAAAACUAUUCUCAUAACUGAUAAUCAAAAUCAAAAUCAGAAUCAGAAAUACUUUAUUGAUCCCGAAGGGAAACUCUUUGUUACAGCAGCUCGUCUUUACGUCAGUGCACACAGGAGAAAGUACUAGCAAAA